CUCCCUUGGGCAACAUGUCAGCUCCCAGUGAUGGUUUGGCAGACAAAUGUUUACAGUGAAGUUUGUGACUUGAAUGAUCUAGGAGGAGCAUGUUGGCUAUUCCAUCAUUAUACAACUACAUAGAACAAAGUAUUUAAGAUAUCUGAAUGCACUAAAGACCAAAUAGCAUAACAACUGCCAAGAAAUUUGACAAUAAUGAAAAUAAUUUACCAGACAAUAAUUUAGUGAAUAAACAUGAUAAAUAUUGAUUGGAAAAAACAAGUCAAUGAACUGCAAAAGGUGUUCUUAGAUUUCAACUAGCAAAACAAAAAUAUUCUAAAUCAUUCUUAGUAAAAUAAAGUGUGCGAAUGGAACCAUCUUGAAGACAUUGCUUAUGCUUGCACUAAAAUUGAGAUUGAGAGUGUCAAAACUGUCUGGCUUUACAAGAUCUUACAACAGUCUGGCACACCAAAAAUAAAUCAAAGACACUCUCUCUACCGUUGUAUUAAAAGCAGCAUUGGAAACUAGCAUUGGUAAACAAAUAUAUUCGUACAGAUACAGACUACCAUUCAUCUCAGAAGUCUGAAAAUACUGAAAACUAUGGUGUAGUAUUUACAGCCAGACUUUUUAUUUUACAUAAAAAGAGGAGUGGUUUAUUUUCCUAUGGAUGUUAUAACAUCUUGUCUUAGACAUGUUAGAAUAUGUUUGAAGUACAGG
rnacentral:lncRNA from 1 species